GACGAACGCUGGCGGCGUGCUUAACACAUGCAAGUCGAACGGAGCGAAUGAAAGCUUGCUUUUAUGAGCUUAGUGGCAAACCGGGUGAGUAACACGUAGACAACCUGCCGACAGGAUGGGGACAACAUUCCGAAAGGAAUGCUAAUACCGAAUGAAGUCGAGGGAAGGCAUCUUCCUUCGAUGAAGGAUGGCCUCUUUUUAUGCUAUCACCUGUUGAUGGGUCUGCGUCUGAUUAGCUGGUAGGUGAGGUAACGGCUCACCUAGGCGACGAUCAGUAGCCGGUCUGAGAGGAUGAACGGCCACAUUGGGACUGAGACACGGCCCAGACUCCUACGGGAGGCAGCAGUGGGGAAUCUUCCGCAAUGGGCGCAAGCCUGACGGAGCAACGCCGCGUGAGUGAAGAAGGUCUUCGGAUCGUAAAGCUCUGUUG
rnacentral:rRNA from 1 species